AUGGCCUCUGGGUCUUCUGGCUAAGACCAAGUGUUUACUGCUUUCAUCAGUUUAAUAGCAUAUACAUCUUCUACCUGGAGAUGUUAUACUAAAUGGGAUUUGGAACACAGAGGUGGCAUAGGAGCUUGCUUCCUCUGCUCCAUCUAUGGACUUGUAAGUAGGAGCUCCAGGAAUGGGGACCCCAU
rfam:Dipodomys ordii contig_59898, whole genome shotgun sequence.